GCGGNUGCCUAAUACAUGCAAGUCGAGCGAACAGACGAGGAGCUUGCUCCUCUGACGUUAGCGGCGGACGGGUGAGUAACACGUGGAUAACCUACCUAUAAGACUGGGAUAACUUCGGGAAACCGGAGCUAAUACCGGAUAAUAUAUUGAACCGCAUGGUUCAAUAGUGAAAGACGGUUUUGCUGUCACUUAUAGAUGGAUCCGCGCCGCAUUAGCUAGUUGGUAAGGUAACGGCUUACCAAGGCAACGAUGCGUAGCCGACCUGAGAGGGUGAUCGGCCACACUGGAACUGAGACACGGUCCAGACUCCUACGGGAGGCAGCAGUAGGGAAUCUUCCGCAAUGGGCGAAAGCCUGACGGAGCAACGCCGCGUGAGUGAUGAAGGUCUUCGGAUCGUAAAACUCUGUUAUUAGGGAAGAACAAAUGUGUAAGUAACUAUGCACGUCUUGACGGUACCUAAUCAGAAAGCCACGGCUAACUACGUGCCAGCAGCCGCGGUAAUACGUAGGUGGCAAGCGUUAUCCGGAAUUAUUGGGCGUAAAGCGCGCGUAGGCGGUUUUUUAAGUCUGAUGUGAAAGCCCACGGCUCAACCGUGGAGGGUCAUUGGAAACUGGAAAACUUGAGUGCAGAAGAGGAAAGUGGAAUUCCAUGUGUAGCGGUGAAAUGCGCAGAGAUAUGGAGGAACACCAGUGGCGAAGGCGACUUUCUGGUCUGUAACUGACGCUGAUGUGCGAAAGCGUGGGGAUCAAACAGGAUUAGAUACCCUGGUAGUCCACGCCGUAAACGAUGAGUGCUAAGUGUUAGGGGGUUUCCGCCCCUUAGUGCUGCAGCUAACGCAUUAAGCACUCCGCCUGGGGAGUACGACCGCAAGGUUGAAACUCAAAGGAAUUGACGGGGACCCGCACAAGCGGUGGAGCAUGUGGUUUAAUUCGAAGCAACGCGAAGAACCUUACCAAAUCUUGACAUCCUCUGACCCCUCUAGAGAUAGAGUUUUCCUCUUCGGGGGACAGAGUGACAGGUGGUGCAUGGUUGUCGUCAGCUCGUGUCGUGAGAUGUUGGGUUAAGUCCCGCAACGAGCGCAACCCUUAAGCUUAGUUGCCAUCAUUAAGUUGGGCACUCUAAGUUGACUGCCGGUGACAAACCGGAGGAAGGGGGGGAUGACGUCAAUCAUCAGGCCCUAAGGAUUGGGCUACCACGNGCUACAUGGACAAUAAAGGGAACGAAACCGCGAGUCAGCAAAUC
rnacentral:rRNA from 1 species